UCCUCGGCGGCGUCAAGGCUGCUGCGACACCUUUUACUCUCGAUGGGUUUCCAGUUUCGCGGAACUGGAGGGAUUAAAAGAGGCGUAAAAAGCAAACAGAAGAAUGCACGAUUUACAUCUUAAAAGCGACAUGAUUGAACACGUGACUCACCUUUCUGUUGGCCCCGUUGAGUAACUGGAGGAUUCUUCGCCUGAUUCAACGCUGUUGAAAGAAGUACAAUUCAACUUUCUUUCUUCCCAUUGCGACCGAACUUCGUCUUGCACUCUUCGUUUCAAUUCUUCUACUCUUCGUCUUUCUUCCGAAAUUACUUGGCUGCCUGUAAUAGAGAAAACCAAUGCCAAUUUGAUUUAUAAUAAAAAAAUAAAA